ensembl:lncRNA ENTPD1-AS1 ENTPD1 antisense RNA 1
GGCCCCGGCUCCGGUUAUCCCAGCCCAGCUAGUUCUGCCCAUGCAGCAGAGCUCCACAAAAGUGCGGGAAUGUCUGACAGGGAAGAAUCAGAGAAACCUUCACCAGCAGCCCGACAUUCACCUGGACGGACAGUGCACUUUUCUUACGUCUGGGCAGGGAAGGCAGGGCGCACCAUCUACCGCAGGCUAGGAUGAUCACCAACCGCCCCACCGCACCCUGCGCCAGCCCUACGGCGCCCGCGGGCUGCAAGUAGCGGCGACCCAGGAGCAUGCGCGCUGCCGCCCCUGGCCUGCCAGGACCCAGAGGGAGCGGAGCACGCGCCUUUGGGAAUCUUCGGUGCGCCAAGUCUGUUCGCCGCCGGGGUCUAUCACCCCCGCCCCUCGCCUCUGCCCGUGAGCGUAAUGGCCUGUCCAGAAGACAGCCAAAUACAUCCUUCAAACAGACUUCACUGCAGGAGACAGAGUGGAUUCAUCCUGUAUUCUCCAUGUAGACUUCCAUCUUCAUGAGUACUCCAAGAAGAUGGUUCAGUUGACUAUUGCAAAGUCUCAGGUAUGUCUUUAUCAGCAGCAUGAAAAUGGACUAAUAGUACCAGUAGAGUGGGGCAUUGCUGAAAAGAUACCCGAAAAUGUGGAAGCAACUUUGGAACUGGGUGUUGAAAUAAUCUGGAGGGCUCAGAAGAAGAUAGGAAAAUGUAGGAAAGUUUGGAACCUCCUAGAGACUGUGAAUGGCAUUGACAAAAAUACUGAUAGUGAUAUGAACAAUAAGGUCCAGGCUGAGGUGGUCUCAGAUGGAGAUGAAGACCUUGUUGGGAACUGAAGUAAAGGUGACCCUUGUUAUGUUUUAGCAAGGAGACUGGCAGCAUUUCACCCUUGCCCUAGAGAUUUGUGGAACUUAGAGCUUGAGAGAGAUGACUUAGGGUAUCUGGUGGAAUAAAUUUCUAAGCAGCAAAGCAUUCAAAAGGUGACUUGGGUGCUGUUAAAAACAUUCUGUUUUAAAAGGGAAACAAGAGCAUAAAUGUGGAAAAUCUGCAGCCUG